rnacentral:rRNA from 1 species
GCUAUACUGCAGUCGAGCGGUAAGGCCCCUUCGGGGGUACACGAGCGGCGGACGGCUGAGUAACACGUAGGAACGUACCCCAAAGUGAGGGAUAAGCACCAGAAAUGGUGUCUAAUACCGCAUGUGGCCUUCGGGCUAAAGCUUUAUGCGCUUUGGGAGCGGCCUGCGCAUGAUUAGCUUGUUGGUGAGGUAAUAGCUCACCAAGGCGAUGAUCAUUAGCUGGUCUGAGAGGAUGAUCAGCCAGACUGGGACUGAGACACGGCCCAGACUCCUACGGGAGGCAGCAGUAGGGAAUUUUCCACAAUGGGCGAAAGCCUGAUGGAGCAACGCCGCGUGCAGGAUGAAGGCCCUUGGGUCGUAAACUGCUUUUAUAUGUGACGAUAAUGACGGUAGCAUAUGAAUAAGGAUCGGCUAACUCCGUGCCAGC